GUGGGGAAUCUUGCGCAAUGGGCGAAAGCCUGACGCAGCAACGCCGCGUGCGGGAAGAAGGCCUUCGGGUUGUAAACCGCUUUCAGCGGGGAAGAAGGCGAGCGGGUUAAUAGCCCGUCAGCUGACGGUACCCGCAGAAGAAGGUCCGGCUAACUACGUGCCAGCAGCCGCGGUAAUACGUAGGGACCGAGCGUUGUCCGGAAUCAUUGGGCGUAAAGAGCGUGUAGGCGGCCACUUAAGUCCUGCGUGAAAUCCUGCGGCUCAACCGCAGGCGGUCGUGGGAAACUGGGUGGCUAGAGUGCGGGAGAGGAGAGUGGAAUUCCUGGUGUAGCGGUGGAAUGCGCAGAUAUCAGGAAGAACACCCGUGGCGAAGGCGGCUCUCUGGAACGCAACUGACGCUGAGACGCGAAAGCGUGGGGAGCAAACAGGAUUAGAAACCCGGGUAGUCC
rnacentral:rRNA from 1 species